CCGUACCUACGGGGCGCAGCAGUGAGGAAUAUUGGUCAAUGGGCGAGAGCCUGAACCAGCCAAGUCGCGUGAAGGAUGACGGCCCUACGGGUUGUAAACUUCUUUUGUCAGGGAGCAAUUGGGUCCACGCGUGGGCUUAGCGAGAGUACCUGAAGAAAAAGCAUCGGCUAACUCCGUGCCGGCAGCCGCGGUAAUACGGAGGAUGCGAGCGUUAUCCGGAUUUAUUGGGUUUAAAGGGUGCGUAGGCGGAAUAUAAAGUCAGCGGUAAAAAUUGGGGGAUAA
rnacentral:rRNA from 1 species